CCUACGGGUGGCAGCAGUGAGGAAUAUUGGUCAAUGGUCGAGAGUCUGAACCAGCCAAGCCGCGUGAGGGAAGAAUGCCCUGUGGAUUGUAAACUUCUUUUGUAUGGGAAUAAAGCGUUCCACGUGUGCGCGUUUGAGUGUACCCUAUGAAUAAGCAUCGGCUAACUCCGUGCCAGCAGCCGCGGUAAUACGGAGGAUGCGAGCGUUAUCCGGAUUUAUUGGGUUUAAAGGGAGCGUAGGUGGGGUAUUAAGUCAGGUGUGAAAGGUCGGGGCUCAACCCGCAGACUGCAGUUGAAACUGGCAGUCUGGAGUGCGGGAGAGGUAUGCGGAAUGCGUGGUGUAGCGGUGAAAUGCGUAGAUAUCACGAAGAACUCCGAUUGCGAAGGCAGCUUGCCGGACAGCAACUGACGCUGAGGCGCGAAAGCGUGGGUAUCAAACAGGAUUAGAUACCCGUGUAGUC
rnacentral:rRNA from 1 species